rnacentral:lncRNA from 1 species
CCCACCAAAUUCCAGAAACAUCCCACAAAAUGUCCUCAAUACCCAACAAAAUCCCAGAAAAAUCCCACAAAAUUCCUUAAAUCUUCUCAAAACACAACCAAAAUUCCAGAAAAAUCCCACCGAAUCUCCACAAAUUCCCACAGAAUACUUGAAAAAUCCCUGAUAAUUCGUCAGUUCUCUACAGAAUCUCACCAAAUUCCAGAAAAGUCCCUCAAAGUUCCACAAACAUCCCACAAAAUAUCCCUAAUAUCCAACAAAAUUCCAGGAAAAAUCCCACAAAAUACCCUAAAUCUUCUCAAAACACGACCAAAUUCUAGAAAAAUAUCCCACCAAAUCUCCACAAAUUCCCACAAAAUACAUGAAAAAUCCCUCAAGAUCCCUAAAUCGCCUCAAUAUCCCACAAAAUCACACAAAAAUCACACAAAACCUCCACAAGUUUCCACAAAAUCUAAGAAAAAUUCCUCAAAAUUCCUCAAGUCUCCUCAGAAUCGCACACAAUUCCAGAAAAAACACACAAAAUUCCAGAGAAGUCCCACAAAACUCCCUCAAUCAUUUCAAAAACCUACCAGUUCACAGGAAUGUCCCACAAAAUCCCCACCAAUUCCCAGAACAUCCCACAAAAAUCUCGCAAAAAUCCCUAACACUUCUGAAAACUCGACCAAAUUCCAGAAACGCCCCAUAAAAUCAGCAGUUUCCCACAAAAUUCAAGAAAAAACACCACAAAAUUCCCUAAACCUUUUCAAAAUACCACAAAAUUCUGGAAAAGCCCCACCAAAUUCCAGAAACAUCCCACAAAAUGUCCUCAAUACCCAACAAAAUCCCAGAAAAAUCCCACAAAAUUCCUUAAAUCUUCUCAAAACACAACCAAAAUUCCAGAAAAAUCCCACCGAAUCUCCACAAAUUCCCACAGAAUACUUGAAAAAUCCCUGAUAAUUCGUCAGUUCUCUACAGAAUCUCACCAAAUUCCAGAAAAGUCCCUCAAAGUUCCACAAACAUCCCACAAAAUAUCCCUAAUAUCCAACAAAAUUCCAGGAAAAAUCCCACAAAAUACCCUAAAUCUUCUCAAAACACGACCAAAUUCUAGAAAAAUAUCCCACCAAAUCUCCACAAAUUCCCACAAAAUACAUGAUAAAUCCCUCAAGAUCCCUAAAUCGCCUCAAUAUCC